CGUGAGCGUCUCGUGUUUCUCUUUGCGGGCUGGGGCAGGUGAAGAGGAAGUGGCAGCCCCGUGGUAAUUAAGAGGAGGGGAGAGGGAUAGGCACCCUAGGUAUUAAGAGGAGGGGAUUGGCAGUCUUCAGUCCAUUUCAUCCUCUGUCUCUCUCUAUCCUUUCUCUGUGAAAAUCUGAAAGAUCUCUGAAGCGAAUCGAAGAGAAAUCGCUGUGCUCCUCCACAGCCAACUAGAGGAUGGGCGACCCUGCUGAUGGACGGAGCUCAUUUUCCAAAAAAAGGGGAGUAUAUUAAAGGAGAGAAGAGUUACUUGUCCAGAUCCUCGGGCACAACAGCUGCGUCGGUGGUGCUACCCGGCAAAAAGGGGGCAGGGGCAGCGCGGACGUUUUCUCCAUCGUCCUCCAGCGCCACCCCGGUCAGUGAGAUGGGGACUUGGUAGGACUACAUCUGAAUUUUCUGUGCUUUAUGAGACCGUCAGUCUAAUUCUGUUCACUGUCAGUAGACAUUCUGUGGUUGUGAAUUUACAAGUAUCCAAGUUCACUGUCAGUAGACAUGUCUGAAUUACUUAAGCAACAUGCUUGUAAAUGGUCAGUAUUCCUAUAGUACUACCGUGCAAGUUUGAUCUGCACCUGUUAGUUUUUUUACCACUUUAGUUGAUGGAUUUAGCUACCUUCUGUAUCUCUCAAGGUAGGAGAUUUGCUGCUGAUAGUCUUGACUAAUUAAGGCAUCACUUAAUCUUUUCAACAUCAAUUUUCCACAUUUAUUCAAAAGUUGUUUUGCUUUUAGCUUCCUCUCUCCAACUCAUGGAAUGUUGGAUUUGUAGUGCCUGUUUUGGUUUUGUUUGUCUGAACUACCGAAACAGACACUUGAUGUUUUACAUUUCCAUAAGAAAAUCUGGGAGUGUUUCCUUUUACUAGUUACAAUUAGCAAUAUGUGAACGCAUUAACCAUCCACACUUACUCUCUACCACAGUUUUAUGACAAGCUUUUAUUAUCUCAGAUUUGUUUGUUUGCCCGCUAGGGGAUAUAUGGUGUGAAUCUAGAUUCUGGGAUGGAGUUUGCAAAUGGAGAUGACGAUUUUUGGGUAUGUUUUUUUUUAUGUUUUUUCUGGGUGUGAAUCACGAAUCUGAGGGAGCGAAUUAGUUUUUUGUUUGGCUUGACCUCGUACUUUUCUGAGUGUGAAAUGAAGAGAACAAAUUCCAUGGCCGACGUUGAAAUAGAGGUAGGUAGCUGAGAUUUUUUCGAAGGUAACUAUUGAAUUCUGAUGUGAUGUACUUGUACUUGGUUGUUACUGAUGUCCCUUCAAUUGCUUGAUGUCCCUUCAAUUGCUUGCUUGGCACUGAGCAUUGCCAAUGCUUGUUUGUAUUUUCUGAGGCAUUCGGCAUACUGAGAUUAUUAUUAUUUAUUUUCUGAGGCACUCGCAUUCGGCAUGACCCUGCAUUUUUUUACUUUUCUUGCAUGUUAGAACUUGAUGUGUAACAGAGUACCAGAUUAUAUUCAUCAAGGCAGAUAACUUAAAGAGUUUAUUUUUGUUGUUCAUGAAAGCACAUACAUGUUGUGCAAAUGCACUUGAAGAUGGUUGGGAUGCCAGAUUCAUCACAGUUUGUUGAUGCUGCACAUGUUGGACACCAAGAUUAACUGGUCCUGGUCCACAGCUGUUUGGAGUUCUUUGUGCCAUAGUUCCGUCCAGCACCUACAAAAUGAAGAGAAAACAUUAUUGCUGAGGAAUCUUCCAUACUGCUACAGGAUUGCUGUUACAAACAUGAGAAGAGAGAAAAGAAAAUCAGAUCUAGAACAAAUCACAGAAGAGAAGACGGGGGGAAAGGUGGGAGGGGGAGAAAAUCAGAGAAGAGAUCAGACGCCCUUACACUAGUGAGUUUCUCCAUGCUUGUGGGCAUGGGGUUUUGCCUGGGUUCAGUCAAAAAGUAGAGUUCAUAAAGCAGAGCAGCAAAUAGUUUUUUUUUAUCUUUUUCCUAUGUCGUCCAGGCCCACAAGCAAACAAUGUCAUGGCCCAGCCCAACAAACAAACAGGAAAAGAGAAAUCAGCCCAGGUGUUAAGCCGGUUCAACCCAGCAGAUAGAGAGCCACUUAACAGGCCUAAUCUACAUAUGAUGACGUCAGCCGACUGAGACUUCGCGAAGUCUCAGUCGACUGAGACCUAGACAGUCCCUAAGUUUAUAUGAACCCCGUGGUGGCUUUGUCCAUGAAAUUUCAUGUGCCUUCACUGCUCGCACGGUAGAAUGGUUUGAGGUGAAAGCCUGAUUAGCAAAUGUUGUUCUAGCCGGCCAAGCUACUUGCUGUCCUUUGACAAGUUUACUCCUUUGCCACCAAAUGUACCAGGCACCCGCUAAAACAAUUACCUUCACACCAAUUUGUCCGAGAACCGGUGACGAUGCUCCGGUGUGACGAAGGAUCUCCUCCAAAAUGAUGGACCCCGAUUGAUCAACAAAAAGUGUUUUUUCUACAAUAUCAUGAAUUCCGAGAUGGGAAUGCAUGUCGCAAGGCAAGGUAACGAGGAAUCCUAGUGCCCCCCGUCCCCCGUGCCGCUCCCGCGAGCGGCCCGGGCGGAACCCUAGAUCGCCGCCGCCGCUCCCCUUCCUCGCCUUCCUUCUCCCUCGCCGCCGCCAGGGGCCGUCGCCGGGCAAAGCCCGCGCGUGCGUCGGCGGCGGCGGGG